AAUUCGAUGAUACGCGAGGAACCUUACCUGGGCUCGAACGUAAGAUGACUGUAGGUGAAAGCUUACAUCUCUUCGGAGCAUUUUACGAGGUGCUGCAUGGUUGUCGUCAGCUCGUGCCGUGAGGUGUCGGGUUAAGUCCCAUAACGAGCGCAACCCCUACCUUUAGUUGCCAUCAGGUAAUGCUGGGGACUCUAAAGGAACUGCCUACGCAAGUAGUGAGGAAGCGGGGAUGACGUCAAAUCAGCACGGCCCUUACGUCCAGGGCUACACACGUGCUACAAUGGCCGAUACAGAGGGCAGCUACCUGGUGACAGGAUGCAAAUCUCCAAAGUCGGUCUCAGUUCGGAUCGGAGUCUGCAACCCGACUCCGUGAAGUUGGAUUCGCUAGUAAUCGCGCAUCAGCCAUGGCGCGGUGAAUACGUUCCCGGGCCUU
rnacentral:rRNA from 1 species